CGGCGCCGUUUCAGUGCAACUUUGCUGCGCGCCCCAUUCAAACGUGUUGGUGCCCGCGUUCCGUUUUUUUUUCCAGUGUUCUUUGGUUUUUGUUUCGUUUCGUUACGUUACGUUACGUUCCAUUACGUUACGCUUUGUGUUGACGUUCGCCGGCUUUUGGCGCAUGCGUAACCGUCCGUGGUCCGUGGUCGUGGUUUGGUUCUUCCUGCGAAUCGAGCGUUGCAUUGUAUUUUUUGGCAGGUUGCGUGCGUGCGCUCGUGUAUUGUGUGUCUGAUUUGAAUGGCGUUUUAAGUGAAAUUAAAAUGACGGAUGUGCUGUAAUUCGCACACUCUAUAACAUAGAUACAACACCACACACAUAUACACACACACAAAGAGUGUCAAUAAAUACAACAAAAAAAAGAAGAAGGAAAAAUAGAGAGAGAGAGAGAAAAUAUAACAAGCAGUUUGUGGCAUGUGCCUCUGCCUCUGCCUCUCCAGUUGAUCGAAUUAGGUGCCAGCUAAUGUUCUGCGCUCGUACUCGCAGCGCCCGCGGGACCGGGACCCGGGACUGCAAUUGACUGCCACACACCGGAUAUGCAAGCGGCGCAACGUUCGCCGAGAAAAAAAACGUGUAACACCCCCGCCCAGGAAGCUGCAGCAAUAAGUGCUAAUCAGUAACACAGGCCCAGGCCCAGGCCCGGAUGUAGGGCAAUAAUUGCCAAUUUCAAUUUCUGUCCAAUUGGAAAAUCUCGAAAAUUGUGUGUGUGUUUUGUUUGUGCCCCAGUCAUGUCAUGCCCAGACGACUCGUAAAAUACUCACAUACUCGUACUCGUAUACUCAUAUCUGGCCAAACUCCGACACUGGCUCCGAAUCACGCUCCAACUCCAAGUAACUCUUGACUGCGCGUCACGCACCGCGAACAGGGAUCGGAGCGGAGCCUCCCCUUCUGCCACUCUUUACGGACUGACUUUCCACCUCUCUAUCCCGUUGCACAAUGCACAGGCUGGUGCUUCUUCGACUGCUGCUCUGGUGGCCAGCGCUGCGUUGGCUGCCCUCAAGCCGCACUUUUGGCAACCCCCCCUGCGUCUGCUGAUAAAAGGGGGAUCCCUUACAGAGAUACAGAAAGAGAGCGAGCAAAGAAUCGAAAAACGGGGGGAACCCUACCAAAAACAACAAAAGAAAAAGAGACAGUCUUAAAGGUGCGUUGCACUCCCGCUCGCUGGCUCGCUCGUUGCUUUUUGUCAUUGAUUCCGCGGAUAGCAUGCGGCAGGGGCAGCAAACGGCAACAGCUGCUGCGACAAUACUACAGACGAGCCACAAUAGUUGCAGCGAUUAUUUCGAGCAUCCGCCUUCCUCUGCUGCUCUGCCACCGCCCCUUGCUACCGCUGUAGUUGUAGUUGUAUUUGUUGCUGCUGUCUUCCGUAACGUGGCCAGAACGUUGCCGGGCAAUUAUUAUUUUGUAAGACGUUUUACAAUUUAAUGGUUUUCAUGAAUGGACUUGGAUCCGACCCUCUGUCAGCAAAGGAGGCAGAGGGCCCUCCGGUUCAGGUUGAACCAGUUGAUUUGAGCCUACGUUCGCCGCGCG